GAUAAUGUCCUCGUAGGCGUCGGAAUUAGCGAAGGUAUCAUACUCCUGAUCAUCAACAUUAUUACAUUAGCUAAAACAUUCUAUUUUUAUAAGAAAAUCCAAUCAUUUAUAUAGUAAAUAACUCACCUGGUCUCAGCAGCAACUCUACUUAUUUUUGAUUGAUUCUUCUUUAGUUUAGUUGAAGAACCAUUAGAAGCUGGUCUAGGCAUAUUCACUUGAACAUUCAACUGCCACAUCAAGUUAGUCUCCGAGCAAUCACUUGUUGCGGUUUCAUCUGACUCAUUUGCUUCUUCUUCGUAUGGAAUCUUCCUUACCUCUAAUCCUUUAUCUACACUACUAUUACACUUAUUCUUAUCUACACCUCGAGUUGCUUCACGUUUCAAGCUAGACGUUCGCUUCUCAAGCUGUGUAUGUGCUCUGUUUUCAGGUUUGCUACUACGCGUGAUUUCGUCCUCGUGUUUAUCAACCCAUUCACUUCCUGGUA
rnacentral:lncRNA from 1 species